ensembl:ncRNA F19C6.9 ncRNA
GAGCGCGCAGCACACGCGUGCGCGGACCAGCGGUGGCCUGCGUGUCUAGCGGUCGAACAUGUUUUCUCUGCGGCCUCUUGGCCAGUGUCGCCGAUUUGCGCACCGGCCGCC